ACGCAAGUUUGGGGGACGUGGAGGCCUCGGCCAAAGCGGAUCUUUUAAAGCAUGCACCGAGAAAAACUCAAAGGAAUACUAAGGCGCCCGUACCGGAAACCGACACAGGUGGGUGGGCAUGAAUGUGCCAAGGCGCGUGAGUGAAACCUCGUUAAGGAACUCUGCAAUCUAGCCCCGUAACUUCGGAAGAAGGGGUGCCCACUUUUAGUGGGUCGCAGUGAAAUGGGUGUACCGACUGUUUAUCAAAAACACAGCACUCUGCUAAGUCGUAAGACAACGUAUAGGGUGUGACACGUGACCAAUGCGGAAAGAUUACGGUAAGUGGUUAGCGCAAGCGAAGCUACGAGCCCAAGUCCCCGUGAAUGUCGGCCGUAACGAUAACGGUCCUAAGGUAGCGAAAUUCCUUGUCGGGUAAGUUCCGACCUGCACGAAUCGUGUAACGAGUGCACCGCUGUCUCAACGAGGAGCUCAGCGAAGUUGUAAUGGCGGUGAAGAUGCCGCCUACCCGCAGCAGGACGGAAAGACCCUAUGCACCUUUACUGUACGCUGUUACUGUGUUUUCGAUUUUCAUGCUUAGCGUAAGUGGGAGACUUUGAAGCCAUUCUUUCGGGGAUGGCCGAGUCGUCAAUGAAACACCACCCUUGGAAAUUGGAAACUCUAACCCUCGCCCAUCAACUGGGGAGGGGACACUGGCAGCCGGUCAGUUUUACUGGGGCGGUAUCCUCCCAAAGAGUAACGGAGGAGUACGAAGUUUGGCUCAACCUGGUUGGCAAUCAGGUGACGAGUACAUGGAUACAAGCCAGACUAACUGUGAGACCUACAAGUCGAGCAGAUGCGAAAGCAGGUCCAAGUGAUCCGGUGGUUGAAAGUGGAAUCGCCAUCGCUCAACGGACAAAAGGUACGCUAGGGAUAACAGGCUGAUCGAGUCCAAGAGCUCAUAUCGACGACUCGGUUUGGCACCUCGAUGUCGGCUCAUCACAUCCUGGGGCUGGAGAAGGUCCCAAGGGUCCGGCUGUUCGCCGGUUAAAGUGGUACGCGAGCUGGGUUCAGAACGUCGCGAGACAGUUCGGUCCUUAUCCGCUGUGGGCGCAGGAAAGUUGAGGGGUUUAAACCUUAGUACGAGAGGACCGGGUUUAACGAACCUCUGGUGUUCCAGUUGUCGUGUCAACGGCAGUGCUGGGCAGCUACGUUCGGAAGAGAUAAGCGCUGAAAGCAUCUAAGCGCCAAGCUCCUCCCAAGAUUGACUUUCCCUGAAGAGUCGUGGUAGACCACCACGUUGAUAGGCCAUAGGUAUAAGCGCAGUAAUGCGUUGAGCUUAGUGGUACUAAUAACUCGUCCGGCUUGAUCUG
rnacentral:rRNA from 1 species